rnacentral:other from 2 species
UUUGACCUGAAAUGUUCGUGAAUCCUGCCUAUUUUGAACCUACAGUUUGAAUAAAGGGAUUCCUAAUCUCUAAAGGGAUGUCAAGCCUCAUUAUCAGGUGGAAGGCAGAACUUUAGAUGCGGUUGCCCACCUGGCGUUUGCUAGGACUCAAAACGCAGGCCGGCAUUUCAGGUACAUA